rnacentral:rRNA from 1 species
UGGGGGAUAUUGCACAAUGGGCGAAAGCCUGAUGCAGCGACGCCGCGUGGGGGAUGAAGGCCUUCGGGUUGUAAACUUCUUUUGCUCUGAACAAGGCAUGCUAAUGGGUGUGUUGAGUGUAGGGGUUGAUUAGCGCCGGCUAACUACGUGCCAGCAGCCGCGGUAAUACGUAGGGCGCGAGCGUUGUCCGGAAUUAUUGGGCGUAAAGGGCUUGUAGGUGGCUGGUUGCGUCUGUCGUGAAAGCUCAUGGCUUAACUGUGGGUUUGCGGUGGGUACGGGCUGGCGUGAGUGCAGUAGGGGAGGCUGGAAUUCCUGGUGUAGCGGUGGAAUGCGCAGAUAUCAGGAGGAAUACCGGUGGCGAAGGCGGGUCUCUGGGCUGUUACUGACACUGAGGAGCGAAAGCAUGGGGAGCGAACAGG